rnacentral:rRNA from 1 species
GACGAACGCUGGCGGUAUGCUUAACACAUGCAAGUCGAACGAGACGAAGAUGAAGUGCUUGCACGGAUUCUUUAGAAAGUGGCGAACGGGUGAGUAACGCGUGGGUAACCUGCCCUAUGGAAAGGAAUAGCCUCGGGAAACUGGGAGUAAUGCCUUAUAAUAUAUCGAAGUCGCAUGGCUUUGAUAUUAAACGCUCCGGUGCCAUAGGAUGGACCCGCGUCCCAUUAGCUAGUUGGUGAGAUAACAGCCCACCAAGGCGACGAUGGGUAACCGGUCUGAGAGGGCGAACGGUCACACUGGAACUGAGACACGGUCCAGACUCCUACGGGAGGCAGCAGUGGGGAAUAUUGCGCAAUGGGGGCAACCCUGACGCAGCAAUACCGCGUGAGUGAAGAAGGUUUUCGGAUCGUAAAGCUCUGUUAUUGGGGAAGAAAAAAAGACGGUACCCAAGAAGAAAGUCCCGGCUAACUACGUGCCAGCAGCCGCGGUAA